rnacentral:piRNA from 1 species
UGACAAGAGGAGACUGUGCCGCCUUCAGUU